rfam:Ixodes scapularis strain Wikel colony gcontig_1108379764542, whole genome shotgun sequence.
GCCGGGAUCGUCUAAUCGGUUAAGGCGUCGCACCGGACAGGCGAAGGCUGCGGGUUCAAUCCCCGCUCCUGGCC